rnacentral:rRNA from 1 species
CGAACGGGUGAGUAACACGUGAGCAACCUACCUCCAACUCUGGGAUAAGCCUCGGAAACGGGGUCUAAUACCGGAUAUCAUCACAGGCUUCAUGGUUUGUGGUUGAAAGUUCUGGCGGUUGGGGAUGGGCUCGCGGCCUAUCAGCUUGUUGGUGGGGUAAUGGCCUACCAAGGCGUCGACGGGUAGCCGGCCUGAGAGGGCGACCGGCCACACUGGGACUGAGACACGGCCCAGACUCCUACGGGAGGCAGCAGUGGGGAAUAUUGCGCAAUGGACGAAAGUCUGACGCAGCAACGCCGCGUGAGGGAUGACGGCCUUCGGGUUGUAAACCUCUUUCAGCAGGGACGAAGCGAGAGUGACGGUACCUGCAGAAGAAGGACCGGCCAACUACGUGCCAGCAGCCGCGGUAAUACGUAGGGUCCGAGCGUUGUCCGGAAUUAUUGGGCGUAAAGGGCUCGUAGGCGGUUCGUCACGUCGGGAGUGAAAACUCGGGGCUUAACCCCGAGCCUGCUUCCGAUACGGGCAGACUAGAGGUAGGCAGGGGAGAGCGGAACUCCUGGUGUAGCGGUGGAAUGCGCAGAUAUCAGGAAGAACACCGGUGGCGAAGGCGGCUCUCUGGGCCUUACCUGACGCUGAGGAG